rnacentral:rRNA from 1 species
UACGAGGGGGGCAAAUGUUGUUCGGAAUCACUGGGCGUAAAGGGAGCGUAGGCGGGUUUCUAAGUAAGGUGUUUAAUCCCGGGGCCCAACCCCGGACAGGCAUUUUAAACUGGAAAUCUUGAAUAGUGGAGAGGUCAGUGGAAUUGGAGGUGUAGCGGUGGAAUGCGUAGAGAUCUCCAAGAACACCAGUUGCGAAGGCGGCUGACUGGACACAUAUUGACGCUGAGGCUCGAAAGCAUGGGGAGCAAACAGG